UAUUGGACAAUGGGCGCAAGCCUGAUCCAGCCAUGCCGCGUGAGUGAUGAAGGCCUUAGGGUUGUAAAGCUCUUUUGCCGGGGACGAUAAUGACGGUACCCGGAGAAUAAGUCCCGGCUAACUUCGUGCCAGCAGCCGCGGUAAUACGAAGGGGACUAGCGUUGUUCGGAAUCACUGGGCGUAAAGCGCACGUAGGCGGAUCAUUUAGUCAGGGGUGAAAUCCCGGGGCUCAACCUCGGAACUGCCUUUGAUACUGAUGGUCUCGAGUCCGAUAGAGGUGGGUAGAAUUCCUAGUGUAGAGGUGAAAUUCGUAGAUAUUAGGAAGAAUACCGGUGGCGAAGGCGGCCCACUGGAUCGGUACUGACGCUGAGUGCGAAAGC
rnacentral:rRNA from 1 species